UUUCUUCUACAAAAUAGUUACAAUUGUUAGUAAGCUGUUUCAAAGCUUAUUUAUACUUGUCUUGUGGCUGAAAAUGCAUUAAAUUUGUCA